CAAACCUCCUCAUUUACUAGUUUGCUAUCUCUCUAUCUUAAAUUGAUGCUUUAAGAACUGAACCCCGACCAGUGGAACUUUUAUAGCAGUUAAAGUUUGAGUUUCUGUGGAAAUCUCCUAGGGAACAGGGCGAGGCUAUGAUUUACUGCCAGACAUUAGCUGCUGGACUCUGACCAGGGUGUGUUAUUACCUGUACAGCCCAGAACACUGAAGCCACAUCACGAAGAGGUUCGGAAACCAGAGGCAGGAACCGCAGCUCAGUCAGCGGGGAGACAAGACGCCCAGAACACUGAAGCCACUUCACUGAGAGGCUCGGGAACCAAAGGCAGGAACCGCAGCUCAGUCAGCGGGGAGACAAGACGCUCAGAGCACUGAAGCCACAUCACUGAGAGGCUCGGAAACCAGAGGCAGGAACCGGAGCUCAGUCAGCGGGGAGACAAGACGGUAAGUCUCUCAUUUGCUCUGAUUGUGGCUGAAAAAAAGCAGGAAAGUUACUGCAGGUUUUAAACGCUGGGAGAUGCCUCUCCAU